UGAAGAACUAUGGUUGAUCUUUUUUAUCAAGUGAAGUAAACAUUGGGAAAAUAUCAGUUUCUUGGAUACCCGGUGAAUUUUGAUUGUUUGUUGAUUCCAAAACCAGUAUAAAAAGAAAGAGGAAGAUAACAUCAGCUUCAACAAAUAGAAGAAAGACCAAAAAACAGAAUCCAAGACAAGACAGUUCAUCAGACUCUGAAACAGCCAUCACCCAAACUAACGAAACGGCACCAAUUAGACUGACGAGAGGAAGGCAGAAACAGAUCAGAUUUGUUGGACGUAGCAUUAAACAGCAGUGGAUCAUUGACGAGGAUGCAGACCAUAAGGAAUGGUAUAAAGGAACAGUUGUGUCGUUACUUAAAGGGACAGAUGGAAACUUGAAUGCAGUCUAUGAAGUGUUGUAUGACGGAGAUGAUGAUGUUUAUGAAAUUGACCAUUUAGUUGAAGAUUAUCAUUCUGGUUCUCUACAAUUCUGUGACUUAUAAUACAUGUUAGGUUGUACUGAGUAUAAUUCCCUGUGAGAUGGAUUUGGAAUUACCUAUCUGUUUUAAAUUGAAAUUGAAAUUAGUGUAUGAUGAACGCUGUUAUAUUUGAUGGACACUUAGAUGUUGUGAUAGACAUUGUGACCAAACUGCUAUUAUUGUACCACAACCAUUUUCACCUUAUUGUUGACUGAAGAAUUUCAUUUACAGUUUAUGACCAAUGAUCUGCAUUACAAUAUGAAAAAAAUCAAUCAUUGUACACAUUUCAGGAAUUUACCAAAGCUGGAAUUCUGAGAUAAAAAAAAUCCAUUCUUGAUGGCACAUGUUGGAGGCCAUACAUCACUUAUAGAUACUCUGCCCAGAACUAGAAUUUUGUGUACAUGGAAAUGCUGUGGAUUUUUUCAAAGUGUGCCUCUAUUCUUCAUGACUUAUUAGACUUAUAUACAUGCUGAAGUGUUUAAUUUUGUUAUAUAUGUAUUCUACACACAACAAGGAAUAUUUUUAUAUAUGAUAUGGUAAUCUUUCUUCCUCAAAUAAUUAAUAAAUUGACAAUUAAGUUUAACUGAAA